rnacentral:sRNA from 1 species
UGGGGCUGUGGCUGCUCUUCACCCCACCGCGGGCCCGGCGCUGCCGUGAAGUGGUGGUCAGGACCCGGAAUGACAACAGCUGGGGUGACCUGGAGACCUACCUGGAGGAAGAGGCACCCCAGCGGCUCUGGGCUCACUGCCAGGUGCCCCACUUCUCCUGGUUCCUUGUGGUUUCCCGCCCUGUGUCCAAUGCCUGCCUGGUGCCACCGGAGGGGACACUGCUGUGCUCCUCGGGUCAUCCUGGGGUCAAAGUCAUCUUCCCCCCUGGGGCCACUGAGGAGCCUCGUCGAGUCUCCAUGCAGGUAUGGCCAGGACAGCACUGAGGGUGGCAGGCCGCGCCUCAGCCCACAGGCAGGUGCUCAGGGGGCCUGUCUGCCCCAGGUGGUGCGCAUGGCUGGCCGAGAGCUGCAGGCCCUGGAGCAGAGUGACCGGCAGGACGUGGCUGAAGAGGUGCGCGCAGUCUUGGAGCUCGGCCGCCGCAAGUACCAGGACGGCAUCCGACGCACGGGCUUGGCCCCCAAGGACGCCGCUCUGCCUGGCUCCUCGGCUCCACAGCCCCC